GACGUAGGGGCCGAGCGUUGUCCGGAGUUACUGGGCGUAAAGGGCGCGCAGGUGGUUUGUCGCGUCGGAUGUGAAAGCCCCCCGCUCAACGGGGGAGGGUCAUUCGAAACGGGCAAACUGGAGGCAGGGAGAGGUCGGUGGAAUUCCCGGUGUAGUGGUGAAAUGCGUAGAUAUCGGGAGGAACACCAGUGGCGAAGGCGGCCGACUGGACCUGACCUGACACUGAGGCGCGAAGGCGUGGGGAGCGAACGGG
rnacentral:misc_RNA from 1 species